rnacentral:rRNA from 1 species
UACGUAGGGUGCGAGCGUUGUCCGGAUUUAUUGGGCGUAAAGGGCUCGUAGGCGGCGUGUCGCGUCGGGAGUGAAAGCCCGUUGCUUAACGGCGGGUUGGCUUUCGGUACGGGCAUGCUGGAGUGCGGCAGGGGAGACUGGAAUUCCUGGUGUAGCGGUGGAAUGCGCAGAUAUCGGGAGGAACACCGGUGGCGAAGGCGGUUCUCUGGGCCUGUUCUGACGCUGAGGAGCGAAAGCGUGGGGAGCGAACAGG